AUACGAAAGGUGCAAGCGUUGUUCGGAUUUACUGGGCGUAAAGAGAGUGUAGGUGGUUUAUUAAGUCGGAUGUGAAAUCCCGGGGCUCAACCUCGGAACUGCAUUCGAUACUGAUAGGCUAGAGUUUGGGAGGGGUAAGCGGAAUUCCGUGUGUAGCAGUGAAAUGCGUAGAUAUACGGAGGAACACCUGAGGCGAAGGCGGCUUACUGGACCGAUACUGACACUGAGACUCGAAAGCGUGGGUAGCAAACAGGAUUAGAUACCCCGGUAGUCC
rnacentral:rRNA from 1 species